GGAGAAGCGGAGGAAGGAAGUAGGAAUCCCUCUCGCGAGACUUCGGCGGCGCCGGCCCCCUUUGUGAUUUCCGACUCGGAACUGCUUCCUCCGGGAGGAGAAAUCAGCUACCUGGGCUGCAGCUGUGCGGUCGCGGAGACGCCCGCUGCGGGCGCUGGGCGGCUUCCGGCCAGUCCACUCCUCUCCCCCGCGCAAGGGGGCAACCCCCGCCUCACCGGGACCAUCGAGCCCAAAUCGACGGGGAGUCACACUCAAAGUCUUCCCCCGUCUUUUCACUCCGGCCCGACUUCUCGCUUCCUUGUUCCAAUCCUCCACUCCUCCCCGCCGGAAACGGCGCCCUUUCCUCCUACAGUUCCGCCCGCCAGUCUGGACUCUGGUCUCCCCGUCGUGCCCUAGAGAGUGACACGGAGGACCCCGCUCUUGUUUUCCGCGGCCCCUCCCUCCCCCCCACCGCACGCGGGGACUGUUGGAGGGGAUGGGGUGGAGCCCAAGGAAGAAGAGAAAGGAAACCCCACUGGAUUGGAUAAGCAGCUGCCAUGGAAACUGGAGCUGUAGUAUUGUCAUGGUAACCAAUGUGCGCCCACCGGUGGGCUCUCCCUGGGCGAAUAGAUAGAUGAUACCCGGGAAGGUGCCCAGGGUUUCCCCCUCGGCUUCCCUGACAUCGAAAGGCCCUCCCCCAGGUUGGGAAUCCGGGUGUUUCUCCCGGGCGGGCGGGGAAGUUCGUUUCCUCCUCCCCUUCCCCAGCCCCCGCAGCUUUGGGGGAGACCCCGAGGCAUUCACCGUGGGCUUUCCCGCCCGCUCGAGUGCGGGAACCACCUCCUCCAUAGUUUCCUCUCCCUUCCCGGCGAGGAGAGGGCCGGGCCUGCGGAGAAGACCGCGCAGGGCCCUAAGGCUGGCGGGCGGCGGGCAGGAGCGGGGGGGGGGACGAGGCGGCGGCGGCGGCGCAGUCGGCGGCGGCGGCCAAGGGGGUUCCCCUCCACCGCCCCGGGCUCCGGGAGGCGGGACCCCGCCGAGGCGGGGUCCCCGAGGGAGGAGAACGGCACCCGACAGCCGCGACCGCUCUCCCGCCUGCGGAAGGGGCAUUAGACUUUUCCCAGCGGGUCCCUCCCCCCUUAUAGGGAUCCCCUAAACCCUACCCUACACCCUCCCUCGUAGACGGAGCUUCCUCGGAGUCCCCCCGCCUCCCCUCGGCCUUAGGGAGCCACCACCAGCCGCCAGGAGGCCAGCGUGAGCGGGUACACAUCCUAGGAAGCUAACAAAGAUAAAGAAUGGGGCCAGUGGUACUGAGUGUGUGAGAAGCCGCUGGAGAAGCCACCCUACUAGUAUGAAGGCAUUUGGCAUCAAUUAAAUUUUCAACUGAUUGAAGCAGCUCGCCCAAAGUCCUUGGGGAUGUGGAACACCCUCCAGCAAUGCCGUCCUCACAGGAGAGUGAAAAUCAGGAUUUGGAUGGGCUGAUUCUGUGUGAAUCCCCGGUUCCUGCUGUUGUCCAGGCCAGGCGGACAGACAAGACCCUCCCCUGACAUUGCAUCUCCUGAGAGACUGGCCCAGCCAAGGUCUGUGUGGAGGGAGCAUCAUGUGUAAGUUUGGAGGAAAUGAAAGCACAGGCUGCUUGGAAAUCAAUCCCUAAGACCGAAGAUGAUGAUGAACCAGACAGAAGCUGAACUCUGCCCCUCCGGCCGCCCCGCCGGACAAUGCCCCCGGCAGCCCUCCCCGCGCCCACGCGCCGCCCAUUCGCGGGAAAGGGAGCCACCUAGUGAGAGGCUGCUCUCAUCUCUGGUUCUUCGACCCCGAAAGCCCAGAGAUGGAGAUUAUGCCUGCAUAUGACCCCACACGCCCGACGUAUCUCUCCUGAAAUGUACUGGCUAGGUUUUUAAAAAAAUGAUUUUAGCCAGAAGAAAACUUCUGUGAUGUAAAAUAAUCACCCCUUUAGUAAUCAUCAUAAUGAUACCUUCUUGGUGUCCCCGUCUAUGUAAUGAGAGUACAUGAGCCUGUAUUAUGACACUCCUGAUAAGCAACCUAGAAAAAUAUUACUCUUCUGAUUUUGAAAAUAAGGAGACUAGGAUAAAAAAAAAAAUGAAUCCUUACCCUACCCGUUUGGCCCAGUGGAGAGUCCACCUGGUUCAGUUCCCACCAAGGGCAUAUGUCCAGGUGGUGGGCUCAAUCCCUAGUAGGGGGUGUACAGGAGGCAGCCAAGCAAUGAUUCUCAUCACUGAUGUUUCUAUCUCUCCCUUUCUCUCUGAAAUCAAUAUAUAUAUGUAUAUUUUAAAAGAUUAAUCCUUUUAUUGUGUUGUUUAUUCUAUAAAAUUUUACUGAGCACUUGUUAUAUUUUAAGUACUGCCUAGGUUACUAUAGAUACUGCAAUAAAAAAAACACGGUCCCUGUCUUGGAGGACACCUGCUGAUUAAGAUACCAGAGAGUAAAAAAAAAAAAGAAAGAAAAAGAUACCAGAGAAUAGAGAAGUGAUUAGGAUCCAAUACGAUAGAUAUGGUAAUUAAGAUUUGUAGAAUACAAGCAUCUUUCUGCAAUAGAUUUUGCCUCCCCCCCACUUGCCCCCGUGCAGAUACAGAUUAUAUCUAAAUAAAAAUAAAGAAAAGAAACUGUCUCAUUUCAUUUCAUCCUACCUGAGUUCGAGUUUUUCAGUUUGUGCCUAAGUGAUUUUAUGGGAAGAUCAUAAGCUAGCAUACCUGAGUAAGCAUUCCAACUAUUCCCAUCUCAGUCUCUGAACUUCAUUCUCUUCCUUGACAAAAUGGAAACAUCACCUAUACCUGGCCUUGUCAAUUUUAAUGAUGAUUGACGUGUCUGAGUAUUUGAGUGCCUGACAUACUACACUGGCACUGGAUAAAUGCUAAGUUUUCUUUAUUUUAUAGCAAGCAAAAAUGAAUAAUUUAGAACUGCUGAAGCAUAAAAUUAUUUUU